rnacentral:lncRNA from 1 species
GCGAGCCGCGGGGUUCGCGCGGGGCCUGCGGGCUGUGGCACUGGCGUGGCUGCCGGGCUGGCGGGGCCGCUCCUUCGCCCUGGCGCGUGCGGCAGGCGCGCCCCACGGUGGUGACUUGCAGCCCCCCGCCUGUCCCGAGCCGCGCGGGCGCCAGCUCAGUUUGUCCGCGGCGGCGGUGGUGGACUCUGCGCCCCGCCCCCUGCAGCCGUACUUGCGCCUCAUGCGGUUGGACAAGCCCAUUGGAACCUGGCUUCUGUAUUUACCAUGUACCUGGAGCAUUGGUUUGGCAGCUGAACCAGGUUGUUUUCCAGAUUGGUACAUGCUCUCCCUCUUUGGCACUGGAGCUAUUCUGAUGCGUGGAGCAGGCUGUACUAUUAAUGACAUGUGGGACCAGGACUAUGAUAAAAAGUAUAGCUCUGGGAGCAGGAUCCUUACUUCUUGUCAUCACCUACCCACUAAUGAAAAGAAUUUCAUACUGGCCUCAACUAGCCUUGGGCUUGACAUUUAAUUGGGGAGCGUUACUUGGAUGGUCUGCUAUCAAGGGUUCCUGUGAUCCAUCUGUUUGCCUGCCUCUUUAUUUUUCUGGAGUUAUGUGGACACUAAUAUAUGAUACUAUUUAUGCCCAUCAGGACAAAAGAGAUGAUGUUUUGAUUGGUCUUAAGUCAACGGCUCUGCGGUUCGGAGAAAAUACCAAGCCGUGGCUCAGCGGCUUCAGUGUUGCAAUGCUGGGGGCACUGAGCCUAGUGGGUGUGAACAGUGGACAGACUGCUCCCUACUACGCUGCCCUGGGUGCUGUAGGAGCCCAUCUGACUCACCAGAUUUACACUCUAGACAUCCACAGACCUGAGGAUUGUUGGAAUAAAUUUAUCUCCAACCGAACACUGGGACUAAUAGUUUUUUUAGGGAUUGUCCUUGGGAAUUUGUGGAAAGAAAAGAAGACAGACAAAACAAAGAAGGGUAUAGAGAAU